rnacentral:rRNA from 1 species
GAUGAACGCUGGCGGCGUGCCUAAUACAUGCAAGUCGAGCGAACAGACGAGAGUGCUUGCACUCUCUGACGUUAGCGGCGGACGGGUGAGUAACACGUGGGUAACCUACCUAUAAGACUGGGAUAACUUCGGGAAACCGGAGCUAAUACCGGAUAAUAUUUAGCUUCGCAUGAAGCAAUAGUGAAAGACGGUUCUGCUGUCACUUAUAGAUGGACCCGCGGUGUAUUAGCUAGUUGGUGAGGUAACGGCUCACCAAGGCAACGAUACAUAGCCGACCUGAGAGGGUGAUAGGCGACACGGGGACUGAGACACGGACCAGACUCCUACGGGAGGCAGCAGUAGGGAAUCUGCCGCAAUGGUCGAAAGUCUGACGGAGCAAUGCCGCGUGAGUGAAGAAGGUUUUCGGAUCGUAAAACUCUGUUGUAAGGGAAGAACAAGUACGUUAGUAACUGAACGUACCUUGACGGUACCUUACCAGAAAGCCACGGCUAACUACGUG